rnacentral:rRNA from 1 species
AUACGGAGGGUGCAAGCGUUAAUCGGAAUUACUGGGCGUAAAGCGCUCGUAGGCGGCUUGUUAAGUCGGAUGUGAAAGCCCCGGGCUCAACCUGGGAACUGCAUUCGAUACUGGCAGGCUAGAGUAUAGUAGAGGCAAGUGGAAUUCCGGGUGUAGCGGUGAAAUGCGUAGAUAUCCGGAGGAACAUCAGUGGCGAAGACGACUUGCUGGACUAAUACUGACGCUGAGGAGCGAAAGCGUGGGGAGCAAACGGGAUUAGAAACCCCAGUAGUCC